rnacentral:rRNA from 1 species
AUUGAACGCUGGCGGCAUGCCUUACACAUGCAAGUCGAACGGUAACAGGUUAAGCUGACGAGUGGCGAACGGGUGAGUAAUGUAUCGGAACGUGCCAAUUCGUGGGGGAUAACUGCUCGAAAGAGCAGCUAAUACCGCAUACGACCUGAGGGUGAAAGCGGGAGAUGGCAAGACCUCGCGCGAUUGGAUCGGCCGAUAUCAGAUUAGGUAGUUGGUGAGGUAAAGGCUCACCAAGCCGACGAUCUGUAGCUGGUCUGAGAGGCCGACCAGCCACACUGGGACUGAGACACGGCCCAGACUCCUACGGGAGGCAGCAGUGGGGAAUUUUGGACAAUGGGCGCAAGCCUGAUCCAGCCAUGCCGCGUGCGGGAAGAAGGCCUUCGGGUUGUAAACCGCUUUUGUCAGGGAAGAAAAGGUUCUGGCUAAUACCUGGGACUCAUGACGGUACCUGAAGAAUAAGCACCGGCUAACUACGUG